GAUGAACGCUGGCGGCGUGCCUAAUACAUGCAAGUCGAGCGAACGGACGAGAAGCUUUCUUCUCUGAUGUUAGCGGCGGACGGGUGAGUAACACGUGGAUAACCUACCUAUAAGACUGGGAUAACUUCGGGAAACCGGAGCUAAUACCGGAUAAUAUUUUGAACCGCAUGGUUCAAAAGUGAAAGACGGUCUUGCUGUCACUUAUAGAUGGAUCCGCGCUGCAUUAGCUAGUUGGUAAGGUAACGGCUUACCAAGGCAACGAUGCAUAGCCGACUUGAGAGGGUGAUCGGCCACACUGGAACUGAGACACGGUCCAGACUCCUACGGGAGGCAGCAGUAGGGAAUCUUCCGCAAUGGGCGAAAGCCUGACGGAGCAACGCCGCGUGAGUGAUGAAGGUCUUCGGAUCGUAAAACUCUGUUAUUAGGGAAGAACAUAUGUGUAAGUAACUGUGCACAUCUUGACGGUACCUAAUCAGAAAGCCACGGCUAACUACGCG
rnacentral:rRNA from 1 species